CACUUGCUCUUGUGGACACCAGCUUGCAAUUAGAGCUCUAUCAGAUAUUUCAUUCACAAACUCAGAUGACAAAAUCACUGAGCCACCAAUCACAAGGUCAAGCCUAAUGAUCCAUAAGAAGGGUGUCUUGUUGUUGGCCAAACCCCAAGCAAACUCCAAAAGUUUCUCUGGAGACAUAACCGUGAUGCUACCAAAAUUCACAUAAACAACAGAAUUAGGUUCGUUGUUAUUAAGCCAUUCUAGCCACUCAGUAUCUUCCUUCCAAAGAUUGGAACCUAAAGAUUCCAAAUGACUAUGUGGACUUUGAUUUAAAAAUGAAGGGAGAGGACCAAUGGGGUAAACAGAAGGGAGCAUAGAAGAGAGAGCCUUCAAUGCCUCACUCUCAAGUUCAUCAAAAGUAUUUACAACAAUAGCAGGGGCUUUGAGCACAAUAUCAGCCAUACCAAUGCAAUAUUCUACCAUAAAGUUAUUUCGAUCUGUUGUCCUUAUAAAGUCAGGUAGGUCCUUCAGUCUAAAGUUUUUCAAACCUAGAAUCCAGUCUAGUUUGGUGUCCAAAUACCCAUUUGUCAAAUAACUCUCAUCUGCAAUCAUGAUCACAAAGCCAAUAGUUACAAGUUCCACAUAAAUACAAAUGACCAUUUUCUUCGUUAAAAUGUAUCCAUUAGUUACAAAUAGUAAAAAAGGCUAACAUUGAAAUAACAUUUUCGUGAACUUUGUUACCUUCAGUUAUUAUUUCAAUUCAAAUUGUCAUUCUGACUAGUCUUACCUGAUGGAUGCUAUAUAAAACUUCUCUAAAGAAAGAAAAGAUAAAGUAAAGUAUUAUUUUCAGCUCAGUUUAUCAGGAAAAACCAACAACUCAUAUCUCAGCAAAUACAUUAUUUGUUAUGCACAUAUACAUAAUAUUGAUUGUUGAUAUUACUUCAAUUAGAGGAACCGGAUCCGAAUUACUCGUGUUGUUCAUGCACUUUUUUAAAAGAAAGAGCUUUAAGGCAUACCUUUGAGUGGUAUUAGACCUUUGUCAGAAAGAGUACAGAAGUGCAUAAUAGACAAUAAGGUGUUGGCACUGAGUGGUGAAAAUAGAAGAAUAGGGAGUUCUAGUUCUUGAGCAGCUUUUGUAGUAAAAGUCAAGCAACAAUCAAAAACCAAGCAAGUAACUGGAGGUAUAUGGCCAACAAUGGCAGAAUCAUUGAGUCUAGCAAGAAGUUCACGAAAAGGUAGGAGAAAGUUUUAUCCCACUGUUUUACAAAGGGACACUGUGUCUUGAGUGACAUUAUCAGCUUCAUCUGUGAGGGGAAGACCAUCUGGGAUUGUCUCAAAAUGAAAAUCUUGAGAACNNNNNNNNNNNNNNNNNNNNNNNNNNNNNNNNNNNNNNNNNNNNNNNNNNNNNNNNNNNNNNNNNNNNNNNNNNNNNNNNNNNNNNNNNNNNNNNNNNNNAAGACCCCUUGAGUUGAGCAAGCGUUUGUAGUUGUAUUCAGUGUGGACAAAGGUAAUGUGAAAGCCUCUAAGAUGAAGCAACUUUGCUAAUCCGAACAAAGAAUUGAUAUGGCCUUGAGCUGGAUAUGGGAUCAACACUGCAUGUGGCUUUCUCUCUGCAGGGUUACUCAUCUGCAUUUCUUUCUUGUAGUGUGAAGAGAGAGCUUUGGAGAAUGAGAUACAAUAUGGAUAAGCAUGUGUUUUUAAGUGGGAUGAACCAAUAUUUAUAUUCAACUCCUAAACCUGUUAACUACUGUGUUCUGUUUCCCAUAUGCCAAAACAUAAAGUCAAAGGCUCUUUCUCAGUAGAGAAUUUUCAUCUUUCCCAGAAUGGAAACAUUGUUGCAUAGAUUAUUUUUCUGCUUUGCAAAUCAAAGUAAUUUUCAGAGUGUGUUUAUUUCAAUCGAUAUAAUAUUUAAAUUUAUGGUUAAAUAUGAUUAGUGUUCCCGCUAGGGAGAUGGAACUAGAGAACUGCUGACUGACUUCGUUAUCCUCCUUCCGGUCGGGCAGUCAGCUCGAACUUCAGUUUGUUCCUUUCACCUUAGCGCUACUUUUUCAGGUUCGUUCUAUCCCAGGUGAAUGCCAAAUGGGGGUACCUGCAGAAGACACUCUAACGCUCCAGUCAGCAAAGAGUAUUAUUCGACCUUCAGUUGUUAGAGUAUAUUCACUAAUGACGUACCAUGUUAUUGGAAUGUGCGCUAUUUAUAUUAUUUUAAUGGGCUUACCUUAUUGGGCUGGAUUAGUGGAGUGGAUCGUACAUAGGGGCGUACUACCUAGUUCUUAAUGGUGGUUUGACUUUACUCUUGAUUUGAGCAUUAAUGAGUUGGGUGUGUCGGUCGGCCCGCAUGGACGUGCUGGGCUCGGUAAGCUCGAUCAUGAGGACCAAGUUAUUAGUUCUUUGUUCAAACUUGAAAUCUUUGUUGUGUUGGUAGUAAAAUAAUUAAAAUGAAUCAUUGAUAUUAAACGAGUUUUACUUUAUUUUGACAUGACAAACGAGAUUCUAUCAUUAUUAUAUUAUAAUAUCAUAAUAUUUUUUCAGUUAUAAUUUAUUUUUUACAUGCAUGAAAAUUGAGAUACUAAAUUCAAUUUUAAUUUUAUUUCUUUUAUAUAAAAAAGAUUUAAAAUAUUUAUAUAACAUAUUAUUAUCAAUAUUUUUUUGUUUAUAUUAAAAAUAUCUUAUAAUUAUAAUAAGGAAAUAUUUAUAAUUAAUAUAAAUGUAAAUAUUUAUUAUAAAUAUUAAUUAUAGUAUUUAUAUUAAUUAUAAAUAUUAAUUAUCAUUAUAAGAUCAAUUUUAACAUUAAUGGAUUUUAUAAUUAUAAUUAAUAUUUAUAAACAAAUAUUAUAUUUAUAUUAAUUAUAUAUAUUUAUUAUAAUUAUGUUAUAAUAUUUAUUAUAAUCAUGUUAUAAUAUUUAUUAUAAUCAUGUUAUAAUAUUUAUUAUAAUCAUGUUAUAAUAUUUAUUAUAAUUAUGUUAUUAUUUUUAUUAUAAUUAUGUUAUAAUAUUUAUUAUAAUUAUCUUUUAAUAUUUAUUAUAAUUAUGUUAUAAUAUUUAUUAUAAUUAUUUAUAAUUAUGUUAUAAUAUUUGUUAUAAUUAUGUUAUAAUAUUUAUUAUAAUUAUAUUGUAAUAAAUUUUAAUUAAGUUUAAAAAAGGUUUGCAACAGCUGUAGAGUCAAGUUUUGUGGGGUGAAUGUGAUAAGCACCCAAACUUUUAAUGACUUUGGGCCUUAUGUAUCUUAGGUCUCUUUUCUGUUUGCACCAAGCCCAACACACAUUUUAUUUCUAUCUAUAUUUAUAAUACAUGGCUGCAUUAAAUGCAAGCAAGAAUAGGAAUAUUCUAACACUUUACUUUACUCUUUUUUUUCUAUGGCAAACCUAGGUGCCUUGUUCACCCUUAAAUAAAACACAAAAUCUCAAAUAUGGAAUCAGAUUUUUUUUAUAGUUUAUCGUAACGAGAGUUUGUUGAACUUACCAGGUCAUUUGUUGACAGAUCACUAUCGGAUCACCUAUAAUAUAUAGUUCCACACACGAGUUUGAGGGUCUCAGCGUAAGGAGUGUGUUGGAGAUCUCACAUCAAAUAUAGAUAAAAACAUUUCAUAGUAUAGAAGUGGGUGUAAACCUCACCUUAUAAAACGGUUUUAUAAGGUUGACUUAAGCUUAAAUGUGAGGUUUACACCCACUUAUAUACUAUGAAAAGUUCUUAUCUCUAGUCGAUUCGAGAUUUCCAACACACCUCCCUCAUGCCGAGACCUUCCAACUCAUCUAUCAAGUAUCCAACUAUGCAUACCUUCUUUACCCUACGUUCUUGCUUAUUUUUGGACAAUCUCUUAUGAUGUUGCUAAUUUCUUUCUCUUUAUUCUUAGAAUUCUAGAUCAUAUUCACAAGUUGUUGCAGUUGUUCAAACCCAAAGACUUUCAUUACCUAUUCAUUAAGAGUCUCUUCUUACGUAAACUUUUCUUUCUCAGUUUCAUUUUUUUCAUCCUUUUCAAAGGCAUUUGUAGCGUAACUAGCUUUCUGUUUCAUCCAUGGUGGAAAUCCAUGCUUUGAAUAACAUUCGUCAGCCAUGUGGUUUAUCUUGUUGCAGAAAGAACAUUGUUUUCCAUAGUUAUUUCCUCUUCCUCUUCCAUAGUUGUGCCACUCAUGAUUGCCAUUGUUGAUUGUGUUGUUUGUUCUUUCUUGGUUCACGUUGUUUCAAGACCUCCGUGCCUAUUCCCAUGCUCUCAUUGAUGACUUUUUACGACAAGUGCACUACGUUGUCAAAAGUAAUAAUAUGUCCCUAAGGACGAAUAUCGAACUCACAAUGAACAAUUGAAUAAUUAAGUAAAAUAUUCGCUAAAUAUAAAAGAGAAUAAUGAAAGUUUGUUGGAAUUUGUUGUGAUAACAAUCAUUAACAAGAAAACAAGGUAAAGAGUUCUUGCUUCAAUUGGAAAAAUAGGGAUUGAAUUUCAUCUUUCCCACUCUUUUGUAUUUUGAUUAAUCAUGAUAAUAUGGUGUCCUCCAUAGAGCAAAAGCAAGGUAUGUUAAUUUUAUUCCACCUCUUCUCCAUUUGUUUCACACUAAGCGAAUGGUAAAAGUAGGAAAACGAAGAACUCACCCAAUAAUUCCUCCAAUACAGUCAUAGAAUUGCUAUAUUUCUGGAAAAAGUUUCUAGAAACUUAUUCAAUUCUAUAAUCUCGUAAUCCCUCAAUGCCAUCCCCAAACUCCCACAACUAUUGCCAAUAUAGGAAUUCAAAUUCUCAAUCAUCUUCGCUAUAGCGUAAAACGCGCUCUUCGCACCAUGGAUUCUACCAAUUCGGUUUUGUCCAAAUACAGCAUGUGCACCUGCUCCACGACAACCACACACUUGAGCAGGAACAGUUGCUCAAAGCUCAACCGGGACGUGGCCAAAACCCUAGCAAGGCCGCGACCCGAGCCGAAGAAGCGCUUCACUCUGGAAGCGGCGUUGAGCACUCGGAUCUUUUAGACGAGAGUGGCGCAUGCCGCAAGCCUGCCGUAGAGCACGGUGAGGCGUGCGAUUUCGCGGUGGAAGUUGAAGUUGUCUGGCGUGGGGGUGAGACCUUCAAGGUCUCUGUGGAGAUUCUAGCGACUUGAAAUUUGGAGGGAGAGAGAGAGGAGAUGACGUGGAAAAUGAGUUAUCGUUUUGAAUUUAUAAUAUUAUAAUAUAAUUUAUACUAGAAUUUUGUUUGUAUGUUAAAAAAAUUAAUAUAUUAUAUUAUUAAAGAUUUAUUUUAAUCAUUUACUCUGACUUCGUCUCCUUUCUUCUUGUCGUGCGGUCAACUCCUACCUUAGCUUGCUUCUUUUUCCUUCUUAUUACGUCUUCGUCGCACUGCCUCUGAUGAAUGUUGAAUGGGGGUACCUGUAGAAGACACUCUAACGCACAAGUCAACGAAAGGAGUAUUCGACACUCGGAAGUAUACAGUAAUUAAUGACGUACUUGCUCCUUAGAAUGUGUGCUAUUUAUAUUACCUAUAAUGGUUUUCCUUAUUGGGUCAGGUUAAGGAGUGAGUCCGCGUUUAGGAUUGCAUUACCUAGUUGCUAAUCACGGGAUUAGGUUUGUUGAGUCUGUCUAGAUGUAAUAAGAUUUAUAAAAUCGAUUGGUCUACUGGGAAUAGGCCUUGGGUCGGAGGUCCGCUAAUGGGGCUGAGACUCUGGUUAGUCGUUCGGUCCACACCAAUUCAUAUUGCAACACUCCCAUGGAGAUGCAGGGAGAAAUCUUAGGAGUGUAAAAUGCAAUUGCCUAAGAGUGCUCUACUUGAUUAGGUGCAAUUAUCAAUUUCAACCUACACUCAAUCUUUCAUAAAUAUGAUGAAAAUGCUUCUAUGGAAUGACGAAAAUUACCUUAAAUGAAAAGAAAUGAGAGUUAAUAAAAAAUACUAAUGAACUUUUUUUUAACACAUUUCUGAAUUUAAAUAUUCAUAACACAUUUUUUAAUUCCAGAAAUUCAUAUCCAUAAUGCAUUUUCAAAUUUUGUGUUAUUGAUUUGAAUAUCUGGAACACAUUUUUUAAUUCUGAAAACUUUUUUUCAGAAUAUAUUUUCAGAUUUGGUUUUCCAAAUUUGGAUUUCCAUAACACAUUUUUUAAAUAUGGAAAUUCUUUUUCAAAUUGCAUUUUCAGAUUUUGUGUUUUGAAUUUUCUUUUUUAAAAUGUAUUUUUUACGGUAGAUAUUUUGACUGUUGAAUUAUAUUUUUUAAAUUCUGGAUUUUCAAAUAUGAAAUAGAGGGUAAUUUUAGAAAUUUUGAAAGAUAAUAGGGUGCAAAUUAAAAUUGAUAUGGCGAAGGAAGAAUUUGUCUCUGUAAAAAGUUUUUUAUAGUUAGAUUCAAUUUAACUAUUUUAUAUUUUUUUAUCUAUUUUUUUUUCUAACUUUAAAAUGUACCAAUUUUGUUCCUUUAAAUUAUAUCAAUAAAAGCUUAAGUAAAGUACUUACUUAACCAAAAGUAAAAUUAUUAUAAAACUAUAGAGACAAAAACUUUAUAAGAACUAAAUGCAUAUUUUAUCCUACAAAUUAUCACUUUUAAUUGAAAAGAAAACUAUUACCCUUGAGAUUAUCAUUUUUUUUUGUAAUUUGAUUAGUUAAGAAGCAAUUAUCCUUUUUAUUAAUAAUUAAGUAAUCAAAUUAAUUUAAUUUUAAUUAAUUUUUUACUGUAAUUAAUUUGAUUAAUAUUAAAAAUAUAAAUGGUAACAUAAUUAAUUAUAUUUUGAAAAUACAAAUUUGUAUCAAAAUUAAUUUUGAUUAAUAUUAAAAUGUUUCUUUUUUAAAAUGUAACUUGUGUUCCUUUAAAACAAUUUAAGUUCAAAAACACUAAAAGAAAAUCAUGAAAUAGAAACCAAUUUUUAGAGACCAACAUAAUUAGUUACAAUAAGAACUAAAAUAGAGACCAUUUUAGAAACUAAAAAAAAAUUGGUUUCUAAAUUAGUUUUUAUUAUUUUCUAUUAUUGUUAAAUAGUUUCUAAAUUGGUAUCUAAUUAGCAAUUAAGGUUUUAACUACCAACUAAAGAAAUUAUAGUUUAAUUUGAGAAAAAAAAAUUAGUUUUAUAAAUAACUUUUUUAGGAAACUAAAAAAAAAGCAAAAAUAAAUAAAUUAUAUUUUAAAACAAAACUUUAAAAAAUAAUGGUUGUGCAUAAUUUUUUAAUUUAUUUUACUAAACUUUUCUUUUAUUGUUGUGAUGAAGCUAACUUAUUUUUGCUUCACAAAGCAACAGAUCCAAGAUAAAUGACUCAUCAGAGUUCAGAUUUAGGGGAAAAAGAAAAGUUGUUUAAUCUAAUUUUGUUUGAACAACACUUCACUAAUCACUUUGUCUAAGUUCAUGAAUGAAAGACCACCAGAUCUAGUGUCCUCCUCUGCCUUCUUCUUCAACUGCAUCACCUUUUGCCUCAUCUUCUUUCCUUUCUCUCCCACCAUCAAUUCAUUCACAUGUUUCUCCACCUCCUUUCUCUUCACAUCAGUGUCAAUUUCAAUCCCAAUGCCCCAUUCAUUGCAAAUAUUUCUGCAAUUUGUUGGCUGAUCAGCAAAAAAUGGCCAACACACCAUUGGCACACCAGCACAAAUGCUUUCAAUUGUUGAGUUCCAUCCACAAUGAGUCAAGAAUCCACCAAUUGAAGGGUGAUUCAGCACUUGCUCUUGUGGACACCAGCUUGCAAUUAGAGCUCUAUCAGAUAUUUCAUUCACAAACUCAGAUGACAAAAUCACUGAGCCACCAAUCACAAGGUCAGGCCUAAUGAUCCAUAAAAAGGGUCUCUUGCGGUUGGCCAAACCCCAAGCAAACUCCAAAAGUUUCUCUGGAGACAUAAUCGUGAUGCUACCAAAAUUCACAU
rnacentral:lncRNA from 1 species